rnacentral:rRNA from 1 species
CCCAGACUCCUACGGGAGGCAGCAGUGGGGGAUAUUGCACAAUGGGGGGAACCCUGAUGCAGCGACGCCGCGUGGGUGAAGGAGCGUUUCGGCGCGUAAAGCCCUAUCGGCAGGGAAGAAGGAGGACGGUACCUGACUAAGAAGCCCCGGCUAACUACGUGCCAGCAGCCGCGGUCAUACGUAGGGGGCCAGCGUUAUCCGGAUUUACUGGGUGGAACGGGGGCGCAGACGGCAGCGCAGGCCAGGAGUGGAAGCCCGGGGCCCAACCCCGGGACUGCUCUUGGAACUGCGCGGCUGGAGUGCAGGAGGGGCAGGCGGAAUUCCUGGUGUAGCGGUGAAAUGCGUAGAUAUCAGGAGGAACACCGGUGGCGAAGGCGGCCUGCUGGACUGCGACUGACGUUGAGGCCCGAAAGCGUGGGGAGCAAACAGGAUUAGAUACCCGAGUACUC